rnacentral:tRNA from 1 species
AAAAACAACAAGAAUUACAAUUAGCCACCCGCGAUUUAUUUACCCAGUUGGUGGACAGAUAUUAUGCUGUCGAUGUG